GCUGGGCGAGGUGGUGGGCACCUGUAGUCCCAGCUACUCGGGAAGCUGAGGCAGGAGAAUGGCAUGAACCCGGGAGGCGGAGCUUGCAGUGAGCUGAGAUCCGGCCACUGCACUCCAGCCUGGGCANNNNNNNNNNUGCCCAGGCUGGAGUGCAGUGGCAUGAUCUCAGCUGACUGCAAACUCUACCUCCUGGGUUCAAGCAAUUCUUCUGCCUCAG
rnacentral:SRP_RNA from 1 species